GCCGUAUCUGCUAUAUAACAGACUCAAAAUCUGUUAUCCUUACGGGUGUGGGAGUUCGAGUCUCCCUGGGGGCACCA
rnacentral:tRNA from 1 species